GGGUGUCCCAUCAGCCCCCUGGCGCAGGGUGCUGAUCUGUAGAUAAAAGAGUCUCGUCAGCGGCAGGCAGAGCUCGGCGUGCCCCCGCAGCAAAGCGUGCAGCUCCUCUUGGCCUGCACCCCCCCCAGCUCCUCGAAGGCUGUGGGACUCCGGGGAGUUACGGUGGCUGCCUGACCCAGGACCCGAAUUGUUGGGUUUCUUCCAAAGGUUUCCUGAAUGAGAGGAGGUGUGCUACCCUGCACAUUGUGUUCGCUAGAUUAUAUAUACAACAGCAACCUGCUGUAUUCUCCACCACAGUUAUUCCCUUGAAGGCAAAAGCAAAAAAAAACUCUCCCUUGCUCUCUUUCUGUGCUGUGGGAAGCCCAGGCUGUGUCCCACCUUGAGGCUGAAUGGCAGCAGAAAGAAUAAAAAUUAGUCAUUCAUUUUAUAGGCACCCUAAGCAGAGUUUGUGGCAUGAGGGACAUGAAAUGCAAGUGAACUGUGAGUUAACUAAGCAUGCAUGUGAUGUUUACAGAUGUCAGUGAUGUUACUACUGUUUUCUUUUGUUAUUAUCACUGCUUUAGUCUCGUGUUUUAAAAAUGUGAGGGCUGUUAUGGUUAAAAUGCUGCCACUGUUUGCUUAUCGUAAUGUAAAUCUAUCUGAAUUGCCAUAGCUGGGAGCAAGUGCAGGGAAGGAGCCAGACACACUGAAAACCUGGCUUCCUCACUGCUGGCCACUACCUUGAGUGCUGGAAACCUGUGGGAUGCUGAGGCUCUGGGUGUAGGACAACCGUAUGGAUGAGCCCAGGAAAAAAGGGUGCGAGUUUCGCUUGCGCAGCAAGGAGACCUGAGUUGCUCAGGGAGAUUGAGGGAGGGCAGAUGCCACUCACCCACUCUACCCCACUCUUACCCACUCGCCCACUGAGCCGACGCACUGCAGGCACCACAGUGCACAGCGGGAGGGCUGGUUAUGACUGGAGGAGUGGCGCGUCUCUCGCUGAUGCCUGCAGAAGCCCAGGAUGUCGCCAAACUUGGAGUUUGCUCUGUCGUUUCACAGCCACUAGCCUGUGUGAAGACUUGUAAAUGUGUACUUUUGUGAAGGAAACUGCAACAAAAACAUCAAAUAGUCAUAUCGUAUUCCUCUCGUUUGUGUUGCUUUUCAGGAGCAUUGUAAGUGUUAUAUCUUCAAGUACUGACACAACUCUAGAAUAUACAGUACAUAUAUAUGAAGCUGGAGUAAAGCUGGAAAAACUGUCAAAAUAGUUCACAUAGCUAUGGUGCGUUCACAACUGAAGAACCAGUGAUUUAGUGUCUGAAAUUCUGAAUGAAACUACGCCUUUCUGCCAGAGCAGGGUGAUGGAGUACCUCAGAGGAAGAAUAGUGCUUUGCCCCGCUGGCUUGUGAAAUGUGUGAUUACAGUUUGUUAUGUUUACCCUUAGAUGAACCAAAGCCACUCACCCAGCGGCACGCUUGGAGUGAGACACAGGGUGGGAAGAAAGCAGGUGUUCCAACUGCUUCUCCAGCUGGGAGACUGGAGUCAUGUUAGAUCCAGGAGCCUUGCUGUUUAGUUAUUUCUAUUGCUGGAUUUGAACCCGGACAGUAAAAGGAGACCGUUCAUGAAUGCUGGUUGACUCCUAAUAGAUUUUCUUAUGUGCAACAUGUCACUGUUUCCCCCCACGCUAUUGUAAUUUAUCUAUUAUCAGUUGUUCAAGUUGUCAUGGGUCACAAGCAUGUAGGCUUUCCCGACAACCAUCUCCAACUCUCACUGUGUUUAUGCAGGAUGGGUCUGUCCUGAUAUCAGAUAUCAGAUUAAACCUAAGAUUUUUACAGAUGAGUCUUUAGUUCAUCAAGGAAGAACAACAGAUACGGAUAAAAACAGUGACAUUUCCAUCUUAUUAGUCCCUAAAUCUUUUUCAAGGAAACAGAGUAAUGUGUUUAUUGAAACUUGGGCUUAGGUUUAAUCGCAUUGUGCUUUGUUUUGCAUUCACUAUUCUUGGAAGACGAGGGAAACACUGCUUCUUUCAUCACACAAUCAGCUUUUGCGUUUCUUGGUAAUGUAAAAUAUGACUGAUAUAAAACGUGCUACUAAGCUUGGCUAGUUCUCAGGCCCACAGACUUGUUUAUUUAUGACAUGAUUUGAAGUGCUGACAGCUAGCAAGUCUUGCAUUUGCUGUGGCAGUACAGCAAUACUAAGAUUGAAGAUCGGUUUUUGCAAUGUGGCUGCCUAGUUCUUUCUGAACGUUUUGUUAUUGAGGUGCUGUUAGUUUGAUGUUAAUUCAUAGGGAGGUGUUUUGAAUAUAUUUUGACUUAAUUUACUUUAUGUUUCAGGUAACUCAGAAUGUUUGCGUGAAAAGUUGUUCCAUUAACAAGUAAAGUGAAAUCGCAGAAAUUAGUAAUACAAUCACAGCAAGUCAGGGAAAUAAACUCCUCAGAUCAAACUUUAUCCCAAAACUAACAAGGAAAUGUAAGCUACAAGCUUUUGAUAGCCAACAAUGGAUCAUAACCUCUGACCAUGUUAAUGCAAUUGACAGGAAUGACCAAUCUCAUUAAAAUACAUAUAAAUAUAAAAGAUAGGUAUAAUUUCACACUAUGGGGUGGACAUAAGCAUAACAUACCAAGAUAUAAUUUACAAUAUAAUACUGAUACAUUUCAUCCACACAUAGAAGAUUGUCAGUUGGUAUAUCUUCAGU